rnacentral:rRNA from 1 species
AGGUGCCCGUACCGCAAACCGACACAGGUAGUCAAGAUGAGAAUUCUAAGGUGAGCGAGCGAACUCUCGUUAAGGAACUCGGCAAAAUGACCCCGUAACUUCGGGAGAAGGGGUGCUCUUUAGGGUUAACGCCCAGAAGAGCCGCAGUGAAUAGGCCCAAGCGACUGUUUAUCAAAAACACAGGUCUCUGCUAAACCGUAAGGUGAUGUAUAGGGGCUGACGCCUGCCCGGUGCUGGAAGGUUAAGAGGAGUGGU